GGGGGACAAUCGAAAUUGGAACAUAAUUCAAAUAUUAUACAUACACUUGAUACCCUCCAAUUUUGCAGGGACAGCCUAUAGCUAUUAAGUUGAUUGAUGAGAAUAAAUUGUUGGCUCUCUGAAGUUUGCGAUGUUCCAUUAGGUGAAAACACUUAUUUAUAAAAUUAAUAAAAAGGCCUAAUAUAAAGUCGAAAAUCCCAUAAUUAUUUGAACCAAUAA
rnacentral:misc_RNA from 1 species